UCACAUCAAGGAUGAAUUUGUCACCAAUAGUCCCCUACAUGGUCCAACUGUGCCAGGGGCGUAGAAUGGGCCUCGCUGGUCUUUCCCUUACAUAACAUAACAUAACAUGGUCCAACUGUGCCAGGGGCGUAGAAUGGGCCUCACUGGUCUUCCGUACCGUAUCAUCAUCAUAUCGUAACAUACGAGGACUAAAGGAUCAUCCAACAUUCAUCCACAUCAUCAAACAUAUUAUGCAAUGCAACAUAUUCGUGAGUUCUAAUGCAACAUCCUAUUAUAUCUCAUGGCAUUCAUGAUGCGUGAAUCAUGCUAAAACUGAUUUAUU
rnacentral:lncRNA from 1 species